CACGGGUGAAUAACGCNUGGGUAACCUACCCUCAGGACUGGGACAACUUCAAGGAAACUGGAGCUAAUACCGGAUAAGCCUACNGGGUCUUCGGACUUCCUGGGAAAAGAUGGCCUCUUCUUGAAAGCUAUCGCCUGUCGAUGAGCCCGCGUACCAUUAGCUUGUUGGUGAGGUAACGGCUCACCAAGGCGACUAUGGUUAGCUGGUCUGANAGGAUGAUCAGCCACACUGGAACUGAGACACGGUCCNGACUCCUACGGGAGGCANCAGUCNGGAAUCUUANGCAAUGGGGGAAACCCUGACCCANCAACGCCNCNUGAGGGAUGAAGGCCCUCGGGUCGU
rnacentral:rRNA from 1 species